UUGAAAGGGAAACGAUUGAAGUCAGUCGUACCAGCGGGAAAUCAACCUUUCGAGGGGGUUUUGGAGUUUUGAAGAGUGUCAAAACCUUUGAGAUUUCAAAAUUUUCGCUCCUUUGGUGUACUUUCUCGUGGGUAGGUUAACAUCGAUUUCGAUCAUCAUAAAAGGAUUGGAGGAAUGUAGCUUCGAUCUUGUAUUGAAGUGUUAUAGCCUUUGGUAAAUGUGAUGAUUGGGAUCGAGGAUUGCAACGAAUACCCUUUUGGGCUAUCCGCCUGAUCUCUGAUACGUGGCCUUGGCAUCGAAAGCUUGCUUAUGGUAUCAAGGUAUUACGGUCAAAAGGUUAGAACGGAUUACAUUCGUUAAGGAUGUUGACGUA
rnacentral:rRNA from 1 species